rnacentral:rRNA from 1 species
GGGUUGUGAGGUUAAGCGACUAAGCGUACACGGUGGAUGCCCUGGCAGUCAGAGGCGAUGAAGGACGUGCUAAUCUGCGAAAAGCGCCGGCGAGGUGAUAUGAACCUUUGACCCGGCGAUGUCCGAAUGGGGAAACCCAGU